CAUUCAGAGUUCUGUCGGAAUUACAGUUCUGUAUAAAAUGUGAACAGUAACGCAAAUGAAAAUAAUCGUUAUAAAUAUAUAACUGAUGAUAAUAACGACUGUUAAGCUGUGUAUUUCUAUUGGCUGUUAUGGUUUUUAGAAGCUGUGGCUUGCAGAGUUAUCAACAAAUGUGACAAUCCGCUUCUUAUCGCGUUCCACUUGCGCGCCAACGCCACGCUCUGCAGUUACAUGUCACGUGAGGUGUUGUGAAAGAAGUGAGCCAUUAAAAUGAUUAGCCUUUUAGGCGAAAGGUGCACUUUGCUGAGAUGCCUGUGUUUUAUGAUGCUAAAGAAAACUAAAGUCAAGCUUAUAUUUUGUUUCCCUCGAGUCUGUGCACAUGGCUGUGAAUACAACCUUCCGAUGUCCAUCCCCAACCUAUCCCGUGGCCUGCAGUGAGGACCUUCUCCAUGAAGAGGCGUGUUUCGAAUACAAAUCGGGAAUGCAGCAAUGGAGGAUUUACUGUAUGCAUAUUUUAACAACAGGCCAAAGAUCUCUUUCUAAGCCUCAACUGGUCCAGAAUUCAGCUGCC